GACGUAGGGCGCGAGCGUUGUCCGGAUUUAUUGGGCGUAAAGAGCUCGUAGGCGGCUUGUUGCGUCGACCGUGAAAACCCGGGGCUCAACUUCGGGCUUGCGGUCGAUACGGGCGGGCUAGAGUUCGGUAGGGGAGACCGGAAUUCCUGGUGUAGCGGUGAAAUGCGCAGAUAUCAGGAGGAACACCAGUAGCGAAGGCGGCACUCUGGGCCGGUACUGACGCUGAGGAGCGAAAGCGUGGGGAGCGAACAGG
rnacentral:rRNA from 1 species